rnacentral:tRNA from 1 species
UAUAGUAUAGUGUAUUUUUUAUUUAGCAUUUUGUAUUUUGGUUGCAAAGGAGAUUAGUUUCUACUAUAA